AGCGUGCGUAGGCGGCUUCUUAAGUCGGAUGUGAAAUCCCUGAGCUUAACUUAGGAAUUGCAUUCGAUACUGGGAAGCUAGAGUAUGGGAGAGGAUGGUAGAAUUCCAGGUGUAGCGGUGAAACGCGUAGAGAUCUGGAGGAAUACCGAUGGCGAAGGCAGCCAUCUGGCCUAAUACUGACGCUGAGGUACGAAAGCAUGGGGAGCAAACAGGAUUAGAUACCCUGGUAGUCCAUGCCGUAAACGAUGUCUACUAGCCGUUGGGGCCUUUGAGGCUUUAGUGGCGCAGCUAACGCGAUAAGUAGACCGCCUGGGGAGUACGGUCGCAAGACUAAAACUCAAAUGAAUUGACGGGGGCCCGCACAAGCGGUGGAGCAUGUGGUUUAAUUCGAUGCAACGCGAAGAACCUUACCUGGUCUUGACAUAGUAAGAACUUUCCAGAGAUGGAUUGGUGCCUUCGGGAACUUACAUACAGGUGCUGCAUGGCUGUCGUCAGCUCGUGUCGUGAGAUGUUGGGUUAAGUCCCGCAACGAGCGCAACCCUUUUCCUUAUUUGCCAGCGGGUUAAGCCGGGAACUUUAAGGAUACUGCCAGUGACAAACUGGAGGAAGGCGGGGACGACGUCAAGUCAUCAUGGCCCUUACGACCAGGGCUACACACGUGCUACAAUGGUCGGUACAAAGGGUUGCUACCUAGCGAUAGGAUGCUAAUCUCAAAAAGCCGAUCGUAGUCCGGAUUGGAGUCUGCAACUCGACUCCAUGAAGUC
rnacentral:rRNA from 1 species